CUUUUUUUUUUCUUUUUUCCUUUUUUCUUUUUUCUCUUUCUCUUUUCUUUCCUUCUUUCUCUCCUCUCUUUUUCUCCUUUUCCCAAUACAACUCGCUUUUGGCCACUCUGCACUGAGCAAAAUGACUAGAAGGAAAACCUCACCUCAAAAGAAAGAAUCAGAAACAGUCCUCUCUCACACAGAGUUACAAAAUCUGGAUUACAAUUCAAUGUCAGAAAGCCAAUUCAGAAGCACUAUUAUACAGCUACUGGUGGCUCUAGAAAAAAGCAUAAAGACUUCAAGAGAGACUUCAUGACUGCAGAAUUUAGAGCUAAUCAGGCAGAAAUUAAAAAUCAAUUGAAUGAGAUGCAAUCCAAACUAGAAGUCCUAACGACGAGGGUUAACAAGGUCGAAGAACGAGUGAGUGACAUAGAAGACAAGUUGAUGGCAAAGAGGGAAACUGAGGAUAAAAGAGACAAACAAUUAAAAGACCAUGAAGGGGAUCCCUGGGUGGCGCAGCGGUUUAGCGCCUGCCUUUGGCCCAGGGCGCGAUCCUGGAGACCCGGGAUCGAAUCCCACAUCGGGCUCCCGGUGCAUGGAGCCUGUUUCUCCCUCUGCCUGUGUCUCUGCCUCUCUCGCUCUCUCUGUGUGACUAUCAUAAAUAAAUAAAAAUUUAAAAAAAAUAAAAAAUAAAAAAUAAAUAAAAAAUAAAAAAAAAAAUAAAAAAAAUAAAAGACCAUGAAGAUAGAUUAGGGGAAAUAAACGACAGCCUGAGGAAGUAAAACCUACAUUUAAUUGGUGUUCCCGAGGGCGCCGAAAGGGACAGAGGGCCAGAAUAUGUGUUUGAACAAAUCCUAGCUGAAAACUUUCCUAAUCUGGGAAGGGAAACAGGCAUUCAGAUCCAGGAAAUAGAGAGAUCCCUCCCCCCCUAAAAUCAAUAAAAACCGUUCAACACCUCGACAUUUAAUAGUUAAGCUUGCAAAUUCCAAAGAUAAAGAGAAGAUCCUUAAAGCAGCAAGAGACAAGAAAUCCCUGACUUUUAUGGGGAGGAGUAUUAGGGUCACAGAGGACCUCUCCACAGAGACCUGGCAGGCCAGAAAGGGCUGGCAGGAUAUAUUCAGGGUCCUAAAUGAGAAGAACAUGCAACCAAGAAUACUUUAUCCAGCAAGGCUCUCAUUCAGAAUGGAAGGAGAGAUAAAGAGCUUCCAAGACAGGCAGGAACUGAAAGAAUAUGUGACCUCCAACCAGCUCUGCAAGAAAUUUUAAGGAGGACUCUUAAUAUUCCCCUUUAAGAAGAAGUCCAGUGGAACAAUCCACAAAAACAAGGACUGAAUAGAUACCAUGAUGACACUAAACUCCUAUCUGUCAAUAGUAACUCUGUAUGUGAACGGGCUUAAUGACCCCAUCAAAAGGCGCAGGGUUUCAGACUGGAUAAAAAAACAGGACCCAUCUAUUUGCUGUCUACAAGAGACUCAUUUUAGACAGAAGGACACCUACAGCCUGAAAAUAAAAGGUUGAACCAUUUACCAUUCGAAUGGUCCUCAAAAGAAAGCAGGGGUAGCCAUCCUUAUAUCAGAUAAACUAAAAUUUACCCCGAAGACUGUAGUGAGAGAUGAAGAGGGACACUAUCUCAUACUUAAACUAUCUAUCCAAC
rnacentral:lncRNA from 1 species